AAGAGGUUUUUUGAUGUUUCAUCAAAACUUCCCACCCUUUGUUAUUUCUGUCUGAAAUUACAGCUUCGGUAAGACUGUUUUUGGUGACAAAAACGAUUGACAGUUUGUUACAAAACUGUUGAUUAGUGCUUACCGUUAGCAUAUUAUACUCUGAUAAUUUGAUUGUCUGAAAAACAAAAAAUAAAUUAAUCA
rnacentral:misc_RNA from 1 species